rnacentral:lncRNA from 1 species
AGAAUACUAUGCAGCCAUAAAAAUGAAUAAAAUCAUGUCCUCUGCAGCAACAUGGAUGGAGCUGGAGGCCAUAAGUGAAAUAACUCAGAAACAGAAAUCAAAUUAUGCAUGUUUUCACUUGUAAGUGGGAACUAAACAAUAGGAACACAUGGACAUAAAGAUGAAAAUAACACUGAGGACUCCAAAAAAGGGGAGAAUGGGAGGAGGAUGAGGGCUCAAAAAUUACCUAUUGGGUACAAUAUUCACUAUUGCUGGUUGGUUCAUUAGAAACCCAAACAUUACCACUACAUAAUAUAUCCAUGUGACAAACUAGAACAUGUACUCCCAAAUGUAAAAUUUAAAGAAAUAUGUAAUGUAUCUGUCUGUUCACUUGUUUUUAAAGCAUGUAUGGAUUUAACAGCUCUGAAUAUUAGCUUUCUGUGUUCUCAUCAGUGAGCACAGGAAGAUAGAGUCUACUAUCCCAUACCUAACGAAAGGCUAGGUGGGAAGGUGAUAUUUAGGGAGGUGAGUUUGAAGGGUGUUUGUUUUAGUUACAUUCUAGUCACUUUAACUUGUAUUCUUGGAAAAAGCUGGAAUCAUUGGCUUGUAUUAUCUUGGCCCUUCCCAUAACUGCCUUGACUGAGUUAUGUUUUAGCAUCAUGGCCUCCACUAUAACAAAACAAUUGAUAAGAAGCAGCCUUAUAAAGCUGAUUUUGCAAUUACUUCAGCAAUUUUAAAAGGACAUUAUCUACUCCCUUCAUCACUCAGCAAGACAUUUUUAAACAACUCAUAGCAAAACUUGGCUUUUCCAAAGGAGCUGAUGCAUUCUCUUUUUUCUGAUAAUGAGAAUUGUGCAACAGACUAUAUUUCCUUUUAUCAUCUCUAUUUCAUCAUUCUCUGGUCUUGACUGUUAAAACUGUGAUAAUGUCUCUGAGAUAAUGUAAAUUCAGAUGGAAUUCAACUGGCAAUUGGCUCCCAUUCUUUUCCUGGGUGCAAUUCUCAAAUGAAGACCAGCUAAAGGUAUUAUCUUCUGCAUGGUGAAGAGUCAGGAAGUGACUACUUUGUGAUAAUUUGGGGCUUUCUCAACUCAGUGUAUGCUACAUAUUUUGUAAUAAUUGGUCUAUUUCUUACAUAGCUCAUAA